UGCCCCAACACAACAUUUUGAUAGGUUGAUUGAAGCUUAGGGGCGGGACUAACUGCCCUCUCCUAACAUUCAAAACACCUUUGAGCUGUGCAUUCUCUAUACUCCUCUGAAGAAGCAACAAAGACUGCGAAACGUCAGGGUAACUUCUUCUACUUUACUGCACUUUGAAUUGACUCUUUUAGUGCAAAUUUUAAUACAACACAUUGUUUUAAUUGUUGUUUUAACUCUUUUUAAAUCUAAUUGUUAAUAAAGUAUCAAUUUUAUCGUUGGUGGAGGGUUCUACCUCUGGAGUUUUAACCUCUACAUGGAUAUAAACUGAACUUUUUGGAUGAUAAUACAAUUCAUCCAGUCUCUGGAGCUCUCCUCUGGGCUAGAUUUAAAUUCCAACAGGAAAAACACCUUUUUUGGACAAACUUUGGGCCUACUGGGACACCUAAGCCUCAAUAGGAUCUCGGGCUACCUAGCCACACAGGGGCCUAUGGGACUUCUCAACAUCGACAUCCCACUCCAUUGAGACAACCAACCACAGCGGACCAGGUAAGAACCCAAAUCCAACGAUUGAAUGUUUUUAAACAGAGACAUGAUUGUGCAGCAGGGUGGUAGAGGGAGACAUGCACAGCUCACACAUAGGGACAUUAGCAAUCAUACACCACAACCACUCAUGUCGCUUAACACACACUCAUUUGCAACAACAUCACAACAACACACAACUACAACUACAGGAAGACAGACUCACCUCACACUUAAUCACCCACCUGAUGCAGAAACUAGGCACAUUAGUAAACAGUAUUUCAAACUUAUUCAAGCUAUACAUCACAAGUACAUUAUGGAUAAAGCAGUUGCCACGCAGGCCUUUCCACCUGGCAUGACUAGACAGAUACACAGAUUGACAGAUUUUAUCAAACCUUCUACACCAACAGAACAUACACGUAACAGAAUAAGGGACAACACAACACAUUGGAUGGAGACUAAUAUGCUCAUAUUACAAGAACAUUACAGGAUGACCAUCGACACCCUCAGGACUACCCCUCGGAAUUCACUGGCUCUUCAGAUCGCCAUAGGUUGGGCCAGGAAGCGCUAUGGCCCCAGGUGGUGCUGGUGCCCGGAUGGGCCCUGUUGGUCGGCAGAUCCCGAGGGAUUACUUACAACAGGGAGGGCCAGUGAUGAAAGGGCCUUUGAAGGUUAAACCUACCAUAAAAAGAACCCAUUCUGAACCCUCCACUAAAACAUCCUUUGGGAUCGUGUCGUCCGGACGGUCUUCUCCGGGUGCCAGCCCGCCUAUGGACCUGAGCCAAAGCCCUCCGGGUCCCUCGUCUCCCCCACCUUCACCUCCAUCUCCCCCACCACAACUCAUCUCUUCUUUGCCGGUAAUGUAUCGCCCCACGUACCACAUUGCAAGACCCCAAAGAAAACUCCAGGACUGGUCCUUUAAGGGACGUAAACCAGUCCUGGUGUUAGGCGACUCCAACAUCAACCGAAUACCGGCUCAUACUAAUUCACAAAU
rnacentral:lncRNA from 1 species